rfam:Brachypodium distachyon strain Bd21 chromosome 1, whole genome shotgun sequence.
AGCUACGCGACGAACACAUAGCGAACUAUUCUUUCGCCUUUUACAAAGUGUACCGUGUGCUCGUCGCAAAUUAGCUGCAUAGCCCAAUUUUUUUAAGGGUUCUUUCUUUCUUCCU